rnacentral:rRNA from 1 species
CCUACGGGAGGCAGCAGUAAGGAAUAUUGCGCAAUGGGCGACAGCCUGACGCAGCGACGCCGCGUGGGGGAUGAAGGUCUUCGGAUUGUAAACCCCUUUCGGCAGGGAAGAUGGAACGGGUAACCGUUCGGACGGUACCUGCAGAAGCAGCCACGGCUAACUUCGUGCCAGCAGCCGCGGUAAUACGAAGGUGGCAAGCGUUGUUCGGAUUUACUGGGCGUACAGGGAGCGUAGGCGGUUGGGUAAGCCCUUCGUGAAAUCUCCGGGCCUAACCCGGAAAGUGCGGAGGGGACUGCUCGGCUAGAGGAUGGGAGAGGAGCGCGGAAUUCCCGGUGUAGCGGUGAAAUGCGUAGAGAUCGGGAGGAAGGCCGGUGGCGAAGGCGGCGCUCUGGAACAUAUCUGACGCUGAGGCUCGAAAGCGUGGGGAGCAAACAGGAUUAGAUACCCUGGUAGUCCACGCCUUAAACUAUGAAUACUAAGUGUCGGCGGGUUACCGCCGGUGCCGCAGCUAACGCAUUAAGUAUUCCGCCUGGGAAGUACGGCCGCAAGGUUGAAACUCAAAUGAAUUGAC